GCUGGCGGCAGGCCUAACACAUGCAAGUCGAACGGUAACAUUUCUAGCUUGCUAGAAGAUGACGAGUGGCGGACGGGUGAGUAAUGCUUGGGAACUUGCCUUUGCGAGGGGGAUAACAGUUGGAAACGACUGCUAAUACCGCAUAAUGUCUUCGGACCAAACGGGGCUUCGGCUCCGGCGCAAAGAGAGGCCCAAGGGAGAUUAGUUAGUUGGUAAGGUAACGGCUUACCAAGGCGACGAUCUCUAGCUGUUCUGAGAGGAAGAUCAGCCACACUGGGACUGAGACACGGCCCAGACUCCUACGGGAGGCAGCAGUGGGGAAUAUUGCACAAUGGGGGAAACCCUGAUGCAGCCAUGCGGCGUGUGUGAAGAAGGCCUUCGGGUUGUAAAGCACUUUCAGUUGUGAGGAAAAGUUAGUAGUUAAUACCUGCUAGCCGUGACGUUAACAACAGAAGAAGCACCGGCUAACUCCGUGCCAGCAGCCGCGGUAAUAC
rnacentral:rRNA from 1 species